rnacentral:rRNA from 1 species
AUUGAACGCUGGCGGCAGGCCUAACACAUGCAAGUCGGACGGUAGCACAGAGAGCUUGCUCUCGGGUGACGAGUGGCGGACGGGUGAGUAAUGUCUGGGGAUCUGCCCGAUAGAGGGGGAUAACCACUGGAAACGGUGGCUAAUACCGCAUAACGUCGCAAGACCACAGAGGGGGACCUUCGGGCCUCUCACUAUCGGAUGAACCCAGAUGGGAUUAGCUAGUAGGCGGGGUAACGGCCCACCUAGGCGACGAUCCCUAGCUGGUCUGAGAGGAUGACCAGCCACACUGGAACUGAGACACGGUCCAGACUCCUACGGGAGGCAGCAGUGGGGAAUAUUGCACAAUGGGCGCAAGCCUGAUGCAGCCAUGCCGCGUGUACGAAGAAGGCCUUCGGGUUGUAAAGUACUUUCAGCGGGGAGGAAGGCGAUGUGGUUAAUAACCGCAUUGAUUGACGUUACCCGCAGAAGAAGCACCGGCUAACUCCGUGCCAGCAGCCGCCGUAA